AGGUGAUGUGAUAGAGGGUUUUU
rnacentral:piRNA from 1 species